UCCUCCGGGAGGCAGCAGUCGGGAAUAUUGGACAAUGGAGGAAACUCUGAUCCAGCAAUGCCGCGUGUGUGAUGAAGGCCCUAGGGUUGUAAAGCACUUUCAACGGUGAAGAUGAUGACGGUAGCCGUAGAAGAAGCCCCGGCUAACUUCGUGCCAGCAGCCGCGGUAAUA
rnacentral:rRNA from 1 species